AUGCACGCUGGCGGCAUGCCUAACACAUGCCAGUCGAACGAAGGCUUCGGCCUUAGUGGCGCACGGGUGCGUAACGCGUGGGAAUCUACCCUUAGGUUCGGAAUAACAGUUGGAAACGACUGCUAAUACCGGAUGAUGACGUAAGUCCAAAGAUUUAUCGCCUAGGGAUGAGCCCGCGUAGGAUUAGCUAGUUGGUGUGGUAAAGGCGCACCAAGGCGACGAUCCUUAGCUGGUCUGAGAGGAUGAUCAGCCACACUGGGACUGAGACACGGCCCAGACUCCUACGGGAGGCAGCAGUGGGGAAUAUUGGACAAUGGGCGAAAGCCUGAUCCAGCAAUGCCGCGUGAGUGAUGAAGGCCUUAGGGUUGUAAAGCUCUUUUACCCGGGAUGAUAAUGACAGUACCGGGAGAAUAAGCUCCGGCUAACUCCGUG
rnacentral:rRNA from 1 species